rnacentral:rRNA from 1 species
UACGGGGGGGGCUAGCGUUGUUCGGCAUUACUGGGCGUAAAGCGCACGUAGGCGGCUUUGUACGUUAGAGGUGAAAGCCCGGGGCUCAACUCCGGAAUUGCCUUUAAGACUGCAUCGCUAGAAUUGUGGAGAGGUAAGUGGAAUUCCGAGUGUAGAGGUGAAAUUCGUAGAUAUUCGGAAGAACACCAGUGGCGAAGGCGACUUACUGGACACAUAUUGACGCUGAGGUGCGAAAGCGUGGGGAGCAAACAGG